UGGCUCAGUUGGUAGAGCAUGGUGUUUGCAACGCCAGCGUUGUGGGUUCGAUUCCCAU
rfam:Salmo salar isolate Sally breed double haploid chromosome ssa15, whole genome shotgun sequence.